CUUUCACUAAGGGGGUGCCUUAACAUGACAGGCUGAGAUUAUACCCUUAGCACCUGAUCCGGGUAAUGCCGGCGAAGGGAAUUGGUGGCCACCGCCCA
rnacentral:ncRNA from 2 species